rnacentral:rRNA from 1 species
CUUGGAAAAGAGAAGAUCAAAAAGCUUCUUCAAGAAGCUUUCUUGAUGGAGGGGAGCGGCAGACGGGUGAGUAACACGUGGGAAUCUACCCAUCCCUGCGGAACAACUCCGGGAAACUGGAGCUAAUACCGCAUACGCCCUACGGGGGAAAGAUUUAUGGGGGAGGGAUGAGCCCGCGUUGGAUUAGCUAGUUGGUGGGGUAAAGGCCUACCAAGGCGACGAUCCAUAGCUGGUCUGAGAGGAUGAUCAGCCACAUUGGGACUGAGACACGGCCCAAACUCCUACGGGAGGCAGCAGUGGGGAAUAUUGGACAAUGGGCGCAAGCCUGAUCCAGCCAUGCCGCGUGAGUGAUGAAGGCCUUAGGGUUGUAAAGCUCUUUCACCGAUGAAGAUAAUGACGGUAGUCGGAGAAGAAGCCCCGGCUAACUUCGUGCCAGCCGCCGCCGUAAUAC